rnacentral:rRNA from 1 species
GGGCUGCAGUCGAGAAUCAUUCGCAAUGCGCGAAAGCGUGACGAUGCGACGCCGCGUGCAUGAUGAAGCUCUUCGGAGUGUAAAGUGCUUUUAUACCAGAAAAAGCUUCGGCUGAUUGUAUGGUAGGAAUAAGGGGUUGCUAAACUCGUGCCAGCAGCCGCGGUAAUACGAGUGCCCCGAGCGUUGUCCGGAAUCACUGGGCGUAAAGGGCGCGUAGGGUGCGCUGUUAGCCCCGCUUUAAAACUUCCCGCUUAACGGGAAAGGUGGGCGGGGAACGGCAGCGCUUGGAGGAUGCGAGAGGUUUAUGGAACUCUGGGUGUAGGGGUGAAAUCCGUUGAUAUCCAGAGGAACACCAAAAGCGAAGGCAAUAAACUGGCGCAUACCUGACCCUGAGGCGCGAAAGCGUGGGUAGCGAAAGGGAUUAGAUACCCUAGUAGUC